GCCAGGCGUGGUUGUGCGUGCCUGUAAUCCUUGCUACUCGGAGGCUGAGGCACGAGAAUUGCUUGAACCUAGGAGGCGGAGGUUGCAGUGAGCCGAGAUCCUGCCACUGUUCUCCAGCCUGGGUGACAGAGCAAGACCCUGUCUCAA
ensembl:misc_RNA Metazoa_SRP Metazoan signal recognition particle RNA